UUCUUCUUCUUCUUCUUCUUCUUCUCUUCUUCUUCUUCUCCUUCUUUUUAAGGGUUUUAUUAUUUGAGAGACAGAGAGCAUGAGCAGAGGAACAGAGGGAGAGGGAGAAGGACACUCCCCGCUGAGCAGGGAGCCCAACGUGGGGCUCAAUCCCAGGACCCUGAGGUCAGGACCUGAGCCAAAGGCAGACGCUUAACCGACUGAACCACCCAGGUAUCCCACCUUUUCUCCUUUCCUCAUCUUUCUCAUGGUUCUGGAGCCUAGGAAGCCCCAAGCUUAUGGCACUGGCAGGUUCAGUGUCUGGGGAAGGUCUGCUGCUACCUGGUGGAAGGGAUCUCUGGGCCUCCUUUAUAAGGGCACGGAUCCCUAAGGAGCCGAUGCCUCCCAAAGGCCCCACCUCCUGGUACCAUCACCUUGGGGGUGAGGAUUUCAACGUGUGAAGUUUGAGAAGGAUGCAAACAUUCCGGUGACAGCACCUAGUUAUACAGGUUAUUUUGUGGACUGUUGGCUACUGUAAUAUUAUUAUUAACUAGUUGGCUCUGAUGUCUGCUUAGUCCCAGCCCCAUGAUGCCCUGAGCAUUUAAGACUCCAGUGGGGGCAGUGGGCCCAGCUCUAGUUCCUGUGACAGUCAGGGGUGCUUCUGGGCCACAGAGUUCCUAACAUCGGAGACUUGUGGAUCAUUCUCCACAUUUUCUUUCCCUUCAGCUCCCUCCUCUGCCCCCCUUCUAAGUCCCACACACACCACAAUCAGCCACCAUUUCCUGUCAGUGCCAAACUCAUCAUGACUCUCGGAUGGGUGCUUUCCUGUUUGUUGAGCCCAUCCUUCACACACCCUUGGCCUGAGCACUUCCUGUCCCCCUUCGCCGGCUCCUCUCUGCAGCAAGAGUCCUCUAAGGAGGAAACCACAGGAUGCAUCUGGACCUGCUCUCAGACUUGGAGACCGGAGUGACAUAGCCCUGAAGAAGCAGGCAGGCCAAAUGCAGGCUGUUCAUCCGGGGCAGUGGAGAAUCUAGACCCUCGAAGCCUCUUAGCUGAGUUCUUC
rnacentral:lncRNA from 1 species